AAUCCAGGGACCAGAUCUCCUUCAGAAAGCUGGAGAUCAUGAAAGAGUUUUAUUUGUAAAGCCAUUAAGAUGAUGGUUUGCAAAGUUCUUCAAUCAAAUCAAAACUUCCACAAGAAGGUGCCUCAAAAGAGAUAAUCGUAACAUUAUUUUUCCAGGCUUCUGCAGGUACUAUGCUUUAAACAAGCACUUUCUUGUAUGUACAGGAGGCCUGGAUAUGUGCAGAACAUCAACAUUAAAAAGAGCCAACAAAGCUGACUGCUUGUGGAGGUAAAAUAAAAUACUAAAGUUACAGUAUUCUUUGGAUUCCCAGUAAGAUGAAUCAUCCAUUCCUCACUUUUAAAGAUGUACUUCAUGGACGACAAAAAUACUCCUUGAAACCAAUCCUUUCAUCAUCUGAAGCUUAUUUUUUCAUUGACACAUCAGAACAAGAGGAAGUGUCAUUGUUUAGAGAUUACAUAUUUGUCAUAUCUAAGGAAGGAUCAAAAGCAAGUUACAGUUCCUUCUGGCUUUCUCCCAGGCUAGAAUUUUCUAUUUUCAGUAUGUGCAGAAAUGUGUUCUAUUUUCAGAAAUGUGCAGAAAGCUGUUUCUUUCAGCUUACAAUAUAGACAUCUUUGGUAUAUGAAUCAAAUUAAAUAACCAGUGGCAUCCCAAUUUCUUUUAGCAGAAAGUAAUGACUGUGAGGAGGAAGCUCAUUAUUAAUCACCUAAAAGAAUGUGAAAGAAUGGCUUUCCGAAUGGAGAAACCAAGGAGGAACUUCAGAGAUCUGAGUCAACUUCAAGUCCAACAUUUUUUGAUCUAUGGCUAUGUAUGUAUUGGCAAGUAAGGGAGAGUGUGGAGCAAUCAGUGGUGAGGACUGAGCCAGAACUCUGAUUUUAUGUUGGUUUCUUUUUUUUUACUGCUCUAUUUGGGCUUACAUCCCCUAUUUAACUCUAGUUAUAUAUCAUGGCCUAACUGUGCAUUAGCAGUUGGAGAGCAUUAGUUGUGCUCUUGGAACAAAGUUUACCAUUUAGUCUCACCCAAAGAAAUGAAGUUCAUGCACUCUAAGACUCACUUCAUGAAGUGAUUUAUUAAAAAAUGGCAAUGCAAGUGGAUCCAUUGACUUCUGCAGAGAGAAGUCACUUCUUUCUCCUCUGUAGGGUAAGUCUUGCACAGAUCAAUCCUUCCCACAACUGCAACAACUACAGUAAUGGUGGGUAGAAACUGAGCAAGAUAGUUCAGUCUGGAAGAGCCAGUGUCCUUUCUUCAAGGCUGGUGUGCAGGUCCUUGCUCCUAGCCUACUGCCUUAGGCAGUUGCUUCCUUAUCUUAUUUUUCAAACCAAGGUUGCCCAUGUAAUUGACUUAUUUUUAUAACUCGGAGUAAAUAAUUGGAUUCUUAAAUCAGUACUGCUGUGGUUGAACUGAUAGGAAAUGUAAUAAUCCAUAUAAUUUAUACUAUUCUAUAUAAUUUUAUGAGGGUUUGCCUAUCAUCCCUGGAAUUACAAAAUCAACAUGAUUUCAGUGAUUGUCUUGUAAGGUCCAAAGGGCAAAACUCAUUCUUUCAUAGAUGAGGUAAUUCCCUGUUUUAUAAGAAACUCAUCCUUUUCACCUUCAUACAGAUUCUUAUGGUUUAAAAUGUUCAAAUAUAUAAAUAUUGAUUCCCCGAACUCCAAAUUUUCUGAAUUUCACAGGUCAAAUAUUGAGUGACUGAGUUUUGUUUAAUAUUCACUUGAAUCAAAUCCUUCACUAAAAUAUUUUGUCAACAUUCCAGUUACCUUUUAAAUUUAAAUUUCUGUGUACCUCCACACACCCAAGUUCUCUGUAAGUGUAAGUUUACCGCAAUGAAAGCUCGCUGACACAAUUUAUGUAUUUUUUUUUUCAGUAUAACUGAAGCUAUAGGUUAGUUUUUUAAAAAUUUGUUUGAAUUUAGAAAACAAUCUCUGGUCAACUGCAGUUCAGAUAUUUCUAUAAGUAGCCUGUUUAGUAAUAUAAGUAAUUUGUUUGGAGUUGUGUCUAGUAAAGAAGAAUGAGGUACAUAUUGUGUUUUUAUGGAGUUUAUAACCAUAUAAGUUAUACAGGAGAUAUUAGAAGUUGAUCUUAUUUUUCAGCUAGAGAAUGGAGUCUCUUGAAGUCUCCUACAAGCAUUGGUUUUGUGAUUUUAUUGAACAAAUAAUUUUGAGAUGUCAGGUCCACAGAAGUGGUUUGUAAAGGACUGAAAAAUGAAUUUUCUUCAGCCUUCUGAAGUAGUCACCACCCUAUAAAAGAAUCUCUAAUUGUGUAUUUCUCAAUCAUCUAGGAAACAAAGCAAAAGGGAAAAAAAAAAAAAGAUGUUGCACUUUGUACUUUUCUACCCAUAAAUAGAAUUUGAGAAUAUGGCGUUUUACUACUGUUUAUCACUGAAAGGUACAGAAUAUAGUCAAGCUAUUCAUUAUUUUAUGCAUCCUUACAUAUGUGUGUUCACAUUUGACAACCUCGUGUAGAAUGAUGGAGAGCUGGAGGCUGGAAGGAAAUCCUUCUUUUUUAAUAUAAAUUCUUUGUCCAAGCUUACUGUCCCUUCACUGACUUGCUAGUAAAAGGAUUUUUCCUCUCAAAUAUUUAUAAUUUGGCUGUUUUUUCAUUUAGCUUUUUAGGCAAAAGGCCAAAAAGGGGAUAGAAUAGCCAAAAAAUGUAAACAGGACUACAAGCUUCCCUCAUAUUCCACUGUAUUGGUUGCUCAAAAAAUAACAGACUGAAUCAUUAGCUUUGUUUGCAUUUGCCAGGGCUAUUUUUCACAAUUAAUUAGCCCAAAACACUUAUCAGCUAAUUGUUUUAAAAUGAGUCACUUCACCAUUCUCUUUCCAGAUAAAGAGCUGAAGAAAUGAUGAAGGGUGGUGAUCAACACUAAUGCAUUUCACAAAUGAUAUACAGCUGAUGAAACAACUUAUUGCAGUCAACUGGUCUUAGUGUCUGCUGCACGCACUACAGUUCAUCCUGAACUCAUCAUAAUCUCUUCUUGAGCAGGAACAUGCUGGAAGAAAGAGUCCUUCCUUCCUGAGUCUGGCUGGAGAAGUCUCCCAAAGCACAAGUCUCUGGUGUGAAAUCCAUCUGUAUCUACUGUUGAAAGGAGAGACCUUAACACCAGCCCCAGAACAGUUUCUGCAUUUCAGAGCACCAGCAGAGAAGCGCAGCUGAGUACCUCAUCAAGAUAAGUAUGAGCAUAUUUCAUGAAGCACAAUUCAGUGGGUAGCCUGGUCACACAGUACUCAGGAAAUUUGAGUACAAAGCAAAUAAUAAAAAGUUCAGAUGCUGUCAAUUUCAGUAUUGCUUAAGAAUAUAAACUGAAUAUUUCAUGAAAAAGCAAAGCUAAACCAGAAAACCUCUAAUCAAUUUCUUCCACAAAUGC